rnacentral:miRNA from 1 species
GAGGGUCCAUGCCCAGUCUAACCAAUGUGCAGACUACUGUACACCAGUAUGACAAUGAACAGGUAGUCUGAACACUGGGUGGACGGAGCCGGAGUUAA